AUAAACAUAUAAACGCUUAAGUAAAAGUUAGAAGCUUUUUUUAAAUAUUUCCUU
rnacentral:tRNA from 1 species